rnacentral:rRNA from 1 species
UACAGAGGGUGCGAGCGUUAAUCGGAAUUACUGGGCGUAAAGCGCGCGUAGGCGGCUUUGCAAGUCGGGUGUGAAAUCCCCAGGCUUAACCUGGGAACUGCAUUCGAGACUGCAUUGCUAGAGUAUGGGAGAGGGAAGUGGAAUUUCCGGUGUAGCGGUGAAAUGCGUAGAUAUCGGAAGGAACAUCAGUGGCGAAAGCGACUUCCUGGACCAAUACUGACGCUCAUGUGCGAAAGCGUGGGGAGCAGACAGG